rnacentral:tRNA from 1 species
GGACCUGUAGCUUAGUUGGUUGAAGCUCCCGGCUCAUAACCGGGCGGUCGUGGGUUCAAGUCCCUCCGGGUCCA